UAGGUGUAUUUGGGAAAGAAAGGCUUGACU
rnacentral:piRNA from 1 species